ACUCAAAUGAAUAGACGGGGGCCCGCACAAGCGGCGGAGCAUGUGGCUUAAUCCGAUGCAACGCGAAGAACCUUACCUGGGCUUGACAUGCGGGGUGAAGCCGUGGAAACACGGCGCUCCUUCGGGAGCCCGCACAGGUGCUGCAUGGCUGUCGUCAGCUCGUGCCGUGAGGUGUUGCCUUAAGUGGCGCAACGAGCGCAACCCCUGUCCCAUGUUGCCAGCGGGUCAUGCCGGGGACUCAUGGGAGACUGCCGGUGGCAAACCGGAGGAAGGUGGGGAUGAGGUCAAGUCGUCAUGGCCUUUAUGUCCAGGGCUGCACACAUGCUACAAUGCGUGGUACAAAGGGCUGCGAUCUCGCAAGGGUGAGCGAAUCCCAAAAAGCCGCGCUCAGUUCGGAUCGGGGUCUGCAACUCGACCCCGUGAAGUCGGAGUCGCUAGUAAUCGCAGAUCAGCAACGCUGCGGUGAAUACGUUCCCGGGCCUUGUACACACCGCCCGU
rnacentral:rRNA from 1 species